rnacentral:rRNA from 1 species
GGGAGCUUGCUCCCUGAUGUUAGCGGCGGACGGGUGAGUAACACGUGGGUAACCUGCCUGUAAGACUGGGAAACUCCGGGAAACCGGGGCUAAUACCGGAUGCUUGAUUGAACCGCAUGGUUCCAAUUAUAAAAGGUGGCUUCGAGCUAACCAUUACAGAUGGGCCCGGCGCGCAUUAACUAGGUUGUGGAGGCACUGGUCCCCAAGGUGAAGAUGCGUUGCGACCUGGGAAGGUGGUCGGUCAAGUGGGAUGGACCCCGCCCAUCCUCCUUAUGGAAGCCGGCAGUAGGAAAUUUCGCCAAGGACGAAAUCUGAACGAACAACGGCGGUGAGGUAUUAAGGUUUUCGAUCCGAAACUCUGGUGGUAAGGAAAAAACAAUCCGGUCCAAUUGGCCGCCCCCUGGCGGUACCUAACCCGAAAGCUACGGCUAACUAAGGGGCCAGCAGACGCGGUAAACUUUGGUGGCUAGCGGUGGUCAGAAUUAAUGGGCGUAAGCGGCGCCGCAGGCGUUUCUUAAGUCUGAUGUGAAGCCCCGGCUCUACCGGGGAGGGUCAUUGGAACUGGGGGACUUGAGUGCAGAAGAGGAGAGUGGAUUCCACGUGUAGCGGUGAAAUGCGUAGAGAUGUGGAGGAACACCAGUGGCGAAGGCGACUCUCUGGUCUGUAACUGACGCUGAGGCGCGAAAGCGUGGGGAGCGAACAGGAUUAGAUACCCUGGUAGUCCACGCCGUAAACGAUGAGUGCUAAGUGUUAGAGGGUUUCCGCCCUUUAGUGCUGCAGCAAACGCAUUAAGCACUCCGCCUGGGGAGUACGGUCGCAAGACUGAAACUCAAAGGAAUUGACGGGGGCCCGCACAAGCGGUGGAGCAUGUGGUUUAAUUCGAAGCAACGCGAAGAACCUUACCAGGUCUUGACAUCCUCUGACAACCCUAGAGAUAGGGCUUCCCCUUCGGGGGCAGAGUGACAGGUGGUGCAUGGUUGUCGUCAGCUCGUGUCGUGAGAUGUUGGGUUAAGUCCCGCAACGAGCGCAACCCUUGAUCUUAGUUGCCAGCAUUCAGUUGGGCACUCUAAGGUGACUGCCGGUGACAAACCGGAGGAAGGUGGGGAUGACGUCAAAUCAUCAUGCCCCUUAUGACCUGGGCUACACACGUGCUACAAUGGGCAGAACAAAGGGCAGCGAAGCCGCGAGGCUAAGCCAAUCCCACAAAUCUGUUCUCAGUUCGGAUCGCAGUCUGCAACUCGACUGCGUGAAGCUGGAAUCGCUAGUAAUCGCGGAUCAGCAUGCCGCGGUGAAUACGUUCCCGGGCCUUGUACACCCGCCCGUCACACCACGAGAGUUUGUAACACCCGAAGUCGGUGAGGUACCUUUUUGAG